UGGCGACCGGCGCACGGGUGAGUAACACGUAUGCAACCUGGCCGCCACAGGGGGAUAACCCGCGGAAACGCGGCCUAAUACCCCGUGACGCCACCGGAGGGCAUCCUCCGGUGGCCAAAGGAGCGAUCCGGUGGCGGAUGGGCAUGCGGCGCAUUAGCUAGACGGCGGGGUGACGGCCCACCGCGGCGACGAUGCGUAGGGGUUCUGAGAGGAAGGCCCCCCACACUGGGACUGAGACACGGCCCAGACUCCUACGGAAGGCAGCAG
rnacentral:rRNA from 1 species